UGAUGUUGCCAGAUCAUCCUCCAGAAGUCCGUCAGGGUGGAGCUAAGAGGCCCCUGGCAGGCAAUGUACCUGCAGUCCCCUGACGCCCCCUGCAGGACAACCAGUUUUGGCCAUCUGAAGCAGACAUGAUGUUACGAGACAGACUCGGACAGAGACACAAGAAGAAGGACUUGACGGGAGGAAAGCAGGAGACCAGACGUGUCCUCGUACACGGCAGGAUGUCUUUGUAACGAUUCUUCUUGAUGUUUUCCUUCAGAGCUCCGACUUGUGAGGUCAAAUUCAGCUCUCUCUUUAUCUGCAGAGACUGUGAGCGCACCACCUGUAAUCACACACACACACACACACACACACGCUUCUGUUAUAGUGACAUCACUGUGUCUUUGCUCUGACUUUGGAGUGGUGCGGAAGGGGGUGCCCCAGGGCUCGGUCUUGGGGCCACUCCUGUUUAUCUUGUCCAUCAAUGACUUGGGUCAAAAUGUUCCUGAUGCAAAUAUGCACUUUUAUGCUGAUGAUACAGUUAUUUAUUGUUAUGACACUUCAGCUUUUGCUGUAGUCCAGCAUUCACUUCAUCAGGUAAAACUGGUCCUCGAUGCUGAGAAGACUAAGCUAAUGCUGUUGUCCAGCAGGAACGGGCCAGAUGUUAUUCCAGUGGUGACCGCUCUGGAAGGGAUGUUGUCCAUGAAUACAAGUACCUGGGUGUCUUGAUUGAUGACUCACGUACUUUGAAACCACACACAAAGAAACUGGUGAAGAAACUAAAACUUAAGUUAGUAUUUUUCUUCUGUAAAUGUUGUGUUUUUCUUUUUUUUUGAAGCAUAAAAGCGCCUUGUCACUGCUACUGUUUUACCCGUGUUAGAUUAUGCUGAUUGUUUUUAUACGGAUGCUGCUCUUGCUCGGUUCAUCGUGCGUCUUUGAGGUUUAUCACCAACUGUAGAGCCAUGACACAUCACUGUGAUCUGUACCGAUGAGUGGGAUGGCCUUUGCCUCUUCAGCUCCUUCUGACUGGAACCUGCUGCAGAGUCUGGAAACCGACUGAACACGAUUCCUUAAAUGAAUUCAAAAGCUGAAACCAUCAGUAGUUAUGAUGAUCUGUGAUAUUUUACCGUUGCUUCUACGCUGUAACGGUUAAAUGUCGCUGCCUCGCGGCCAGGACACCACUGGAAAAGAGGUU